CUACUGGCACCGCGAGGUGACGGGAUGCAUGUGCAGAAGUCAGCAGAGGGCAUAGUAAGUCGAGACAAGGACGAGGAGUCCGGAGAGCUUGGCUGAAGGCC
rfam:Massilia sp. LC238 contig42, whole genome shotgun sequence.